CGGGGCCUAGCUUAAAAGAUAAGGCAGCCUACCUACACUGGGUUAAUACUCGUUAAAAUCGAGUGGCCCCGA
rnacentral:tRNA from 1 species